rnacentral:rRNA from 1 species
GGUUCGAUCAUGCUCAGAUUGAACGCUGGCGGGAUGCUUUACACAUGCAAGUCGAACGGCAGCACGGACUUAUCUGUAUGAGUACGAACGGCGAGAGUAAUGCAUCGGAAUCGCCUAGUAGGGGGAUACCCAUGCGAGCGGUAGCUGACGACUGCACUCUUCGGGGAAAGCGGGGAUCUUCGGGCCCUGCACUAUUAGAGCGGCCGAUAUCGGAUUAGCUAGUUGGUGGGGUAACGGCUCACCAAGGCGACGAUCCUGCAGCUGUUUGAGGAGGACGACCAUGCUGACUGACUGAGACAUACCAGACUCCUACGGUGAGGCAGCAGUGGGAAUUUUGGACAAUGGGGAAACCCUGAUCCAGCCAUCCGCGUGUGCGAUGAAGGCUCAAGCCACAAAAGCACUUUGGCAGGGAAGAAACGGCAUGGAUAAUACUCCGUGCAACUGAUGGCAUCGGCAGAAUAAGCACCGGCUAACUACGCCAGCAGCCGCGUGUAACACGCAGGGGUGCAAGCGCGACCGAAUCAAUAAGGCGCGCAGGCGGUUCGGAAAGAAAGAUGUGAAAUCCCAGAGCUUAACUUUGAACUGCAUUGACCACCGAGCUAGAGUGUCAGAGGGCGGUGGAAUUCCGCAAGCAGUGAAAUGCAGAUAUGCAGAGGAACACGAUACAUGCAGCCUCCUGGGAUAACACUGACGUCAUGCACGAAAGCGUGGGAGUAAACAGAUUAGAUACCCUGGUAGUCCACGCCCUAAACGAUGGUCAACUAGCUGUUGGGGCCUUCGGGCCUUGGUAGCGCAGCUGACUGGUAGUUGACCGCCUGGGGAGUACGGUCGCAAGAUUAAAACCGAAUGACGGGACCCGCACAAGCGGUGGAUGAUGUGGAUUAAUCGAUGCAACGCGAAAACCUUAUCUACCCUUGACAUGUUCAAAUCCCGAAGAGAUUUGGGAGUGCUCGCAAGAGAACCGGAACAUGUGGUGUUGCAUGGCUGUUUAUCAGCCUGCCGUGAGAUGUUGCUGGCGUCCAGCAACGAGCGCAACCCUUGUCAUUAGUUGUUGAAAGGGCACUCUAAUGAGAUUUCGCCGGUGACAAACCGAGGAAGGGGAUGACGUCAAGUCCCUCGCGGCCCUUACGGUAGGCCUUCACACGCCACAAUGGUCGGGACAGGUCGCUAACCCGCGAGGGGAGCUCAAUCCCGGAAACCUGAUCGUGGUAGUCCGGAUCGCAGUCUGCAACCGACUGCGUGAAGUCGGAAUCGGCGAACGCGGAUCGCAUGUCGCGGUAACAUGGCCUGGGUCUGUGCACCGUCGCUCACGAAUGGCGGGAGUGGCUUUACCAGAAGUAGUUAGCCUAACCGUAAGGAGGGCGAUUACCACGGUAGGAUUCAUGACUGGGGUGAAGUCGUAACAAGGUAG